ACUCAAAUGAAUAGACGGGCACCCGCACAAGCGGUGGAGCAUGCUGUUUAAUUCGAAGAUACGCGAAGAACCUUACCAGGGCUUGACAUCCUCGGCGAAAUCUUAGAAAUAAGACAGAGGUUAUCCGAGUGACAGGUGGUGCAUGGUUGUCGUCAGCUCGUGUCGUGAGAUGUUGGGUUAAGUCCCGCAACGAGCGCAACCCUUAUCUUUAGUUGCUAACAUUUAGUUGAGUACUUUAAAGAGACUGCCAGUGAUAAACUGGAGGAAGGUGGGGAUGACGUCAAAUCAUCAUGCCCCUUACGUCCUGGGCUACAAGCGUGCUACAAUGGCCGGUAUAAUAAGUCGCAAUACCGUGAGGUGGAGCUAAUCUCCAAAACCGGUCUCAAUUCGGAUCGAAGUCUGCAACUCGACUUCGUGAAGCUGGAAUCGCUAGUAAUCGUGAAUCAGAAUGUCACGGUGAAUACGUUCUCGGGUGUUGUACACACCGCCCGU
rnacentral:rRNA from 1 species